AGCAGUGGGGAAUCUUAGACAAUGGGCGCAAGCCUGAUCUAGCCAUGCCGCGUGAGCGAUGAAGGCCUUAGGGUCGUAAAGCUCUUUCGCCAGGGAUGAUAAUGACAGUACCUGGUAAAGAAACCCCGGCUAACUCCGUGCCAGCAGCCGCGGUAAUACGGAGGGGGUUAGCGUUGUUCGGAAUUACUGGGCGUAAAGCGCACGUAGGCGGAUCAGAAAGUUGGGGGUGAAAUCCCGGGGCUCAACCCCGGAACUGCCUCCAAAACUCCUGGUCUUGAGUUCGAGAGAGGUGAGUGGAAUUCCGAGUGUAGAGGUGAAAUUCGUAGAUAUUCGGAGGAACACCAGUGGCGAAGGCGGCUCACUGGCUCGAUACUGACGCUGAGGUGCGAAAGUGUGGGGAGC
rnacentral:rRNA from 1 species